CCCAGCGGUCGGCGCUGCCAGAAGGGGCGGGGGAGACCCAGCGAGCUGCCCCGGGGGCGGGCCGGGAGAAUUCCUGAGAAAAACCCCUCUGGAAAACGCCAAAUCUCCCAAAGACCAGGGCCUGCCCCUCCCCCGGCCUGCGGCCUUGUCCAGUCUCCUGUCCAGUCCCCUGUCCAGGCUCAGCCCUCACCUGCGACCCAGCGGGGCCUGGCCGCGCGCCUUCCCCGCCCCCACUGCUCUGCUCGUCGCCCUGACCUUUCUGAGGCCUGGGCCAGGGUGCCUCGGAGGAAAUGAAAUUGUUCUGGAGAUUACAGUGGGGCUUUGGGCCAGAAGUACCCACCCCCCUUUUCUCAUGCUUCCAUGUUAAGUGCAAACUUGUAUCUCGUCACAAGAAUGGCCAAGUUUUCUCGAUUAUUUGCAGUUUUCCAAAGUGCUGCACACAGAUCAGUGAACCUGAAGGCCCUUGGUGGAGACCCAUAUUGUGCAGGUUUGUCGGGGGCCUCAGGCAGUGAGCGCGAUGACAGGUGAGCCCGGCCUCACCCCAAGACUUACAACGGGCCGGCCGGGCACCCAAGGACUCCUCCAACAGCUUCAAGCGACAGGAGCUUGAGAAGCCUAGGCCGCAGCCACAGCCCACAGCAAGUCUGAGGAAGUCUUCCUCAUUAAAGAAAUCCUUUGUAUGAUGCUGCAUUUUUUUCCCAGAUUUGUAGCGGCCACACGGAAGGAGGAGGCAGCUGCGGUAGCUGCUGCUUCUACAUGCAGGCAUCCAGCAGUGUGUGCCUAGCAGCAGACUUGGUGUCCCCAGUGUGAAGAGCCCAGGCUUUGCCCAUUAGGCUGUGACUGAAAACAAUCCCCCCCGCUCCAACCAGCCUCCACAGUGCCUACCCCAAAUCCCUAAACAGAUUCCUGGACUGCAAGAACACAGUUCAUAGCCUGAACGUCUAAGGGCUGGAUUUGGUAAGGGGAAGGAAGAACAGAAAAAUACCACCCAAUUCUGAAAUCACUGACACACUCAUGUGCAGUAGCCAGUGUUUGUGCCCAUAUGUGUGACAGUGUCAUACUUUUGUCCCCAGAAUGACACUUCAAAAAUAUUUCUCUCCUACAUACCACCAGAGGCUGUUUUUACACCCCACUAUUGUGAGUCGGUCUCCUAUAAACCAUAUUGUGUGUUUUCCCUGUGGAUUUUCAUGAAAGAAGAAUUGUGCAAAAGCCACUGCUUUGUCCCAGAACUGAAACAAAGACGAACACACAGGAAAGAUUCAGCCUCUCCAAAAUGCCCUCUUCUCUGAUUUGGGAGCAAAGCGCCUAGAGUCACCAGCCCGUAAUUGUGGUUGAUAUCUAAUCCUCCUUGGUACAAAGCUCAUCUUUCCUCUACGAAGAAGUACCAUUGAGAUAUGACUAACCUUUAGGGUUAUAUCCCAAACUGGGAGUCCAGGGCUUACACUCGGAUUGCCUGGGCCUCUUCUAACCUGAACAAAAAGGAUUUGAAGAAAAUCACAUUUUUUCCCCCUUCGCAACAAAGCAUUCCUAAUCACU